rnacentral:rRNA from 1 species
GACGAACGCUGGCGGCGUGCCUAAUACAUGCAAGUAGAACGCUGAAGGAGGAGCUUGCUUCUCCGGAUGAGUUGCGAACGGGUGAGUAACGCGUAGGUAACCUGCCUGGUAGCGGGGGAUAACUAUUGGAAACGAUAGCUAAUACCGCAUAACAGUAGAUGUUGCAUGACAUUUGCUUAAAAGGUGCAAUUGCAUCACUACCAGAUGGACCUGCGUUGUAUUAGCUAGUUGGUGAGGUAACGGCUCACCAAGGCGAGGAUACAUAGCCGACCUGAGAGGGGGAUCGGCCACACUGGGACUGAGACACGGCCCAGACUCCUUCGGGAGGCAGCAGUAGGGAAUCUUCGGCAAUGGACGGAAGUCUGACCGAGCAACGCCGCGUGAGUGAAGAAGGUUUUCGGAUCGUAAAGCUCUGUUGUAAGAGAAGAACGAGUGUGAGAGUGGAAAGUUCCCACUGUGACGGUAUCUUACCAGAAAGGGACGGCUAACUACGUG